rnacentral:rRNA from 1 species
GGAAUACUGGGCAAUGGGCGCAUGCCUGACCCAGCGACGCCGCGUGAGGGAAGACAGCCUUCGGGUUGUAAACCUCUGUUGCAGGGGAAGAAGGAAGUGACGGUACCCUGCGAGAGAGCUCCGGCCAAUACUACGUGCCAGCAGCCGCGGUAAUACGUAGGGAGCGAGCGUUGUCCGGAAUUACUGGGCGUAAAGGGCGCGUAGGCGGCGCUUCAAGUCGUCUGUCAAAAGCCGAGGCUCAACCUCGGCGCGCAGACGAAACUGGAGAGCUUGAGAAGCAGAGAGGCAAACAGAAUUCCUGGUGUAGCGGUGAAAUGCGUAGAUAUCAGGAAGAAUACCAGUGGCGAAGGCGGUUUGCUGGCUGCAUACUGACGCUGAAGCGCGAAAGCCAGGGGAGCAAACGGGAUUAGAUACCCCGGUAGUCCUGGCAGUAAACGAUGUAUGCUGGGUGUGGGACUAGCGAUAGUUCCGUGCCGAAGUUAACGCGAUAAGCAUACCGCCUGGGGAGUACGGUCGCAAGAUUGAAACUCAAAGGAAUUGACGGGGGCCCGCACAAGCGGUGGAGCACGUGGUUUAAUUCGAUGCAAACCGAAGAAC